rnacentral:lncRNA from 1 species
AACAUAGGCAGGGUGCAGCACAGCAGGACGCAGUGCAGCAGGACGCAGUGGGGGCAGGGUGCAAUGCAGGCAGGGUGCAGUGCAGACAGCAUGGGCAGGGUGCAGCGCAGCAGGACGCAGUGCAGCAGGACGCAGCGGGGGCAGGACGCAGCGCGGGCAGGGUUAACGGCGCGCCAGGCCCCACCGCCCGGGGCUGCAGUGGAAGGAAUGCUUCAGAAGCAAUUCUUUUCAUUGCUGACAUAAAAAGCCGCCCCGGUGCCAAACCGCAGCCCUGGCAGGGCAUUGCUGGCCCUUUUGAUCCCACCGCGGCUCCCACAAACCCAGCUUUGCCGCCCCUUGAAACAGCAAGAAAGAGGCUGGGGCCGGGCUCCAGCUCCAGAUGGCCAGACCUUAACUACACGGGGACUCGGGAGCAAUGGCAAACUUGGUGCUUGGAAAAACUGAGGCACCCAGCGAGCUUGCAAGGAAUGGGAUGGAGCACACGGCACAGCCAGGGCCCUCCGGCAGCCCCGCAGCCUGCUCGGAGCCAAUGCACGGCACUGCCUGCACCCCCCAUCCCGCCCCUCCCCGUGGCCUGGGCUGCAGCUCCUGGGGUUGUGGCCAGCUCGGGCCCCCCUCGGCGCUGCUCCCCAGCCUCCUGCCAGUCCCCGGCUCCACUCCCCUGCGCCGGCCCCAGCGCCCUGGCAGUUGCAGCGCAGGGUUUGUGGCAAGAGGAUGUGGGAACGGCUUAAUCCGGAGCAGAGCAGGAGCCUCGGCACCGUCGCUUUUAACCCAUGUCUGGAGCAUGCCUCAUCCCCACGGGCCGGCCCCAAGCGGCAGCCUCAACCCCAGCCCCGGCCCCAGCCCCCCCCUGCUCUGGUGUGCAAUGCCGGCACAGGGUGGGCAAUGCUGGUACAGGGUGUGCAAUGUCCACAUGGGGUGUGCAAUGCUGGCAUGAGGUGUGCAAUGCUGGUACAGGGCGGGCAACGCUGGUACAGGGUGUGCAACGCUGGUACAGGGUGGGCAAUGCUGGUAUGUGGUGGGCAAUGUCCCCAUGGGGUGUGCAAUGCUGGCACGGGGUGUGCAAUGCUGGCACGGGGUGUGCAACACUGGUACGGGGUGGACAAUGUGGGCACGAGGCACACAAUGCAGGCAGGGAGCAGGCAAUGCCAGUAUGGGAUGGGCAAUGCUGGCACGGGGUGCACAAUGCCAGUAUGGGGGGAGCAAUACUGGCAUGGGAUGCACGAUGCCGGCAUGGGGUGGGCAACGCUGGCACAGGGUGUGCAAUGCUGGCAUGAGGUGGGCAAUGCUAGCACAGGUUGCACAACGCCGGUAUGGGGUGCACGAUGCCAGUAUGGGGGGAGCAAUWCUGGCAUGGGAUGCACGAUGCCRGCAUGGGGUGGGCAAYGCUGGCAUGGGGUGCACAACACCGGUAUGGGGUGGGCAAUGUUGGCACAGGGUGUGCAAUGCUGGCAUGGGGCAGGCAAUGCCAGUAUGGGGUGGGCAAUGCUGGCAUGGGAUGCACGAUGCCGGCAUGGGGUGGGCAAUGCUGGCAUGGGGUGCAUGACGCCGUUACGGGAUGGGCAACGCUGGCACAGGGUGUGCAAUGCUGGCAUGGGGUGGGCAAUGCCAGUAUGGGGGGAGCAAUACUGGCAUGGGGUGCACGAUGCCGGCACGGGGCGCACGAUGCCGGCACGGGGCAGGCAAUGCCAUCACGCCGCCCCUUGCAUGAGGCCAGGCGCAGGCAGCCCCGGGGACCGCGCUGCCGGGGCUGGCAGGGUGCAUCGUCCCACCGCAGGCACGGCGGGUUCCCGGCGCUGGCGCCUGCCCCGGCGCUUGGCUCCAGGGAGCCGCAGCCCGGGCUCAGCCACACAAAGGAGCGGAAAUGCCACCUCGGCGCCGCUGCCAGCGGGAGCCCGGCCAAGGGGGGACGCCCAAGCGGCCCGACGGGCACCCGGUGUGGCCACAGCACCCUCUAGUGCCACCGCCCCGGGGGCACCGACGCCGGAGGGGUGCCGGGCCCCAACCCCGGAGCCGCCACCGCCGACGAGGUCCCCAAACCCAGACCCGCCACGGACGUGGCCCUCCUCCCCGGCACGAGCCCUUCGUGGCUGCUGCCACCGUGCGGCAGCUCCGCUGCGCGCCGGGGAGAGGACGCUGGUGGCUGCAGCUGUCCCCGUCCCACUGCCUCUGCAGCCACUGCUGCAGCUACAGCUGCCACCAUGCCGCCAGUCCGGCACCCAGGCCGGACCCCCACCCCCAGGCUGCUUUGGAGACCGGAGCACGUUUCCCAGUUUCCAGGACACGGCAGGUUUAAAGCAGAGAGAUGAGAGAUGCCGGAGCUGGAACCUGACUCCACUGCACGAAGCAACACAAGAGGGACAAGGCAGAACCCACAGAAUGGUUGAGGUCAGCAGGAACCUCUGGAGAUCAUCUAGUCCAACCCCCCUGCUCAAGCAGGGUCACCUAGAGCACGUUGCACAGGACCCUGUCCACAUGGCUUUUGAACAUCUCUAAGGCAGGAUGCUCCAUAACCUCUUUGGGCAACCUGUUCCAGUGCUCUGUCACCCUCGCAGUGAAGAAGUUUUUCCUCAUGUUCAGAUGGAAUUUCCUGUGUUUCAGUUUGUGCCCGGUGCCUCUUGUCCUAUCGCUGGGCACCACUGACAAGAGUCUGGCUCCAUCCUCUUGACACCCUCCCUUCAGAUACUUGUACAUG